GCGGCGGUAGUCUAGCCUGGUUUAGGAUGGCGGCCUCCCACGCUACGGGCGAAGAAAGCCGUUGAUCCCGGGUUCGAAUCCCGGCCGCCGCA
rnacentral:tRNA from 1 species